rnacentral:rRNA from 1 species
AUUUGGCGGACGGGUGAGUAACGCGUGGGAACGUACCUUUUGCUACGGAAUAACUCAGGGAAACUUGUGCUAAUACCGUAUGUGCCCUUCGGGGGAAAGAUUUAUCGGCAAAGGAUCGGCCCGCGUUGGAUUAGCUAGUUGGUGAGGUAAAGGCUCACCAAGGCGACGAUCCAUAGCUGGUCUGAGAGGAUGAUCAGCCACACUGGAACUGAGACACGGUCCAGACUCCUACGGGAGGCAGCAGUAGGGAAUCUUCCGCAAUGGGCGAAAGCCUGACGGAGCAACGCCGCGUGAGUGAUGAAGGUCUUCGGAUCGUAAAACUCUGUUAUUAGGGAAGAACAUACGUGUAAGUAACUAUGCACGUCUUGACGGUACCUAAUCAGAAAGCCACGGCUAACUACGUGCCAGCAGCCGCGGUAAUA